AUGUCACACGGCGCUGGAGACUCCCCUGGUGGCCAUCCAUGGAUGCGGCGUCUCUAUUGUGCAGGCGGGUCUACUCUCCCUCUUGAGGCGAGUGUGGAUGUAAUGGAUAUUGAUUGUGGUUGUUCGGACAAAAAUAUUGCAUGGAAACAUUAUAUACUGAUGGAGAGGAGUAGUUGUGGAGCGGGUCGUGGGAGAGACGGUUGGUUAGCAUGGGCUGGACGGGAAGGUGAUGCCUGCGAUGGCGACCAAGCCGGCGGGCAGGGCAGGGGCGACUGUGGCCAUUGUGGUGUUUUCAAGGGAGAGCGAGGCAACUGCAAUCACGCAACUGAAGAAGUCGAAACCCGGGGCGAAGUUGGCCAACAUGAAAGCUGA
rnacentral:rRNA from 1 species